rnacentral:rRNA from 1 species
UACGUAGGCGGAAAAUUAAGUCAGUAGUGAAAUCCUGCAGCUCAACUGUAGAACUGUUAUUGAUACUGGUUUUCUUGAAUGUAGUUGAGGUAGGCGGAAUGUGUAAUGUAGCGGUGAAAUGCUUAGAUAUUACACAGAACACCGAUUGCGAAGGCAGCUUACUAAGCUACGAUUGACGCUGAGGUACGAAAGCGUGGGGAGCGAACAGGAUUAGAUACCCUGGUAGUCC